GGCUGGUCUGAAGGCAGCAGGUUACCUCAAUUGAUUGUUCACAGUCAGUUAUAGAGCAAACUGUUUGCUCUACUCUUUCACCCCUUCUUACUACUGCAUGUGACUAGUGGAUA
rnacentral:Y_RNA from 1 species